AAAAAAAACGUAUCUAUAGCUGUAGCUUUUGUUGAAAAGUCUGACAAUCUAGCAGGAGUUGGCCUGCCUUUCUUCAUAGCAAUAGCUUCUGGGGCUGAGUAGCACCGCCAUCUUUAGACAAGAGCAUGAGUGCCAGGGUUCUCCCAGAUCUGCCUUGGCCAGUUUAGCUCAUUGCUUGCCUUGACCCAGUAGAUAUUUAAGUUUGCCGUAGCUGGGCUGACGUAUAAAAAUCCAUACAUAACCUUAUGAGAUGGAGCAGGGAGUCCCUUUUUGGUGAUCUGCAUGCCCCCCACUUUCCCAGGCAUAGAAAUAAAAUAAAAUCUUGAGUUUCUUCAAGGGAAGCUAGCCAUGAAAAGUACAUAAAUAACUUGUUAUGCAAGAAGGUAAUACCUAAAACAAUAGCCAAGGAGUAGGGUCCAGAGAUAUUUGGUUUUCCUAUUGAAACUAAAGAUAAUAUCUUAACAUAUGUCUCUGAGUUAUCUUUCAGAAACUGGAUUUCCCCACCGAGGACCCCCACCAAAUAUAUCCAGAUCUGCUGGCACACAGACCUCAGAUAAGGAGGAGCUGAAAACUGAACUCUGACCAUUGUUCUUUGUUCUAAAUUUCUUCCGGUGGGGCUUGGAGGGAAUCACACCCCAGAGCCAGUCAACAUUUUUUUUUCUUCUGCUGAAUCCACAUUUUUAAGCAAAGCUUCUCUUCCUUAACCAGUUGCAAAUCAGAAAACCUUUGAAUCCACCGACAACCUAUAUGCAGCAUGUUGGGACGACCAAGUAGAAGCCAGACAUGGAGAGAGAAGAGAGAAUGAAAAGUAUCUGAGAUGGUGACAUGUCCCAGCAGGCUGUGAUUCAGCUAACUUGCAGUGAAUGAAAGACAAUAAGAAGCAGAGAGCCAAGAAGUAGCAUCAACAACAGAACUAACUUAAACCUAAGAAUCAACUGACAAGACAUUAAGCUGAUCAUUCAUCACCCUCAGGAACCUCAUUUAAGCUUUCUGAGCUUCAUUGCAUU